rnacentral:snoRNA from 1 species
UAGUUAGGUAGGAUAAUCCUUACCUCUCCUCUAAUUAGAGGGCAGAGAGAACAAGAUGUUUGGUUUUGUUGUUGGUGGUUUUUUUUUUGCCACAUCUGGGGAUGCUCAGAGGUGACGCCUGAU